UUCCACCUCAUUCUUUAAUAACAGCUUCCCUUUGAGACUUAUUCUAGGCUAGAUAAGUACAUUGCAGAUCUUGGCGUUCAAAGAGACGGUGAAUUUGUUCUCAGGAAGCAACGGACGGCAUCUACAAGCAAACUUGGGAGCUGUUCAACCACAAAGAUCGGUCUAAGAGUUUCGUCGACGAGGUCCUAACCGGAGUGAAGAGGAUUCUCACGGAGAAGUUUGUGUUCGUGACAUGUGACGUCGAGUUCAUAAUCGCCGCAGAGAGAUUAGGCGGUGAGAGGAAGUUCAACUAUGGGCACGAGUGCUUCUACCCACAAGGGGCGGCAUUUCCCGUGCCCUCAGGGGCACCCUACAGGGAGAUCUUCAGUAAAUUGACGCUGAGGCUGGUCGAAGGAGGUUUUUACAAAAAGUGGGAAGCUGACGCCAUCCGGAAUUACACCAGAGGAGGCGAAGUCGAAGCUGUGGAGAUGUCCGAGACGAGUGCUCUCACCCUUACCCACCUUCAGGCGGCCUUCUUCUUGGUAGGACUCGGCAUCGCAAUUUCGACCGUUGUCUUUUGGCUGGAAUUCGUCACAACAAGCCUUCAGAAGAGGAGGAAUUAGUCCACUGGAGUUUCUAAGGUAGAAUAAUCCCCCAAAAGACGUGCGAGAAGAUUUUGAUUCCGAGAUAUGGAUAUUUAUGAUGAUUGCUGCCUUACAUAAUGAUGUUUCUGUUUCUUAUUUGCUGGUAUAUUUGUUUUAGUAUCUUUAUUACAUGCGUUUAUUUAACUUAACUUCCACAUCUGUCUGUCUGUUUGGGUCAAAUCUUGUAACCCAAUUUUCGACCUGUUCCCUUCCUCUGAUGAUCUUAAAAUUUCGUGAGGUUACUCAAUCCCAGUGACACUACAACCUUACAUGAUCAGUAGGUCAGCAGUGACUUCUAGUGACCCUACAGUGACCUCUCCCUGUAUCUCAGGAUUUGUAUGAAAGUCUUCGGAUUUUUUAUACCUUCUUUGACUUUGUAGACUAUGUUAAUAAAUCUAUGUGUUUUUCAAGCCUUCUUUGGCUGGAAAGGUCAUC